UUGGAUUAUUGUCGGUGCUGUCGGUCAAAAGAUCAACUCUCUAGUUUAGCUUUCUCUGAUCCCAUAACUUUCCCUUUUGAUUAAACAAAUUUCCGGACACUUCUAUCAAUAAUGGCUCCACACUAGUUUAAGACAGCGCCUUGUAAUGGGCCCAUUCUCCAUAGCAUCAAGCUGUCUUCUCGCAUUCAUUCACUCGCUCCUAACUCUUCCUACUUUCAAACCUACUUCCGUUCUGACUUAACUUCACACACUUUCCUACGAUAAGGUACUGAGUUCUAAGCGAGAGAAAAAGGACGGGAUCCAAUGCCUGGAGCUCCACAGUGUUGUUGCGUUCCUUUCUUCUUCUUCUUUCUACUUGUAUGGUGGUGGCCAAAUUUCUGUUUGGGAGGUGACCCUUACGUGUUUUUUGACUGGACUGUCUCUUACAUCACGGCUGCUCCCCUUGGAACUAAACAAGAGGUAAUAGGGAUUAAUGGGCAGUUUCCAGGGCCGAUUCUCAAUGUCACUACAAAUUGGAAUGUUGUUAUCAAUGUUAAGAAUGAUCUUGAUGAGCCAUUGCUUCUCACUUGGAAUGGCAUACAACAUAGAAAAAAUUCUUGGCAAGAUGGUGUUUCAGGGACUAAUUGUCCAAUUCCUACUGGUUGGAACUGGACAUAUCAAUUUCAGGUCAAAGAUCAAAUAGGAAGUUUUUUUUACUUCCCUUCUCAAAAUUAUCAGAGAGCUGCUGGCGGAUAUGGGGGAAUCAUCAUAAGCAACAGAGAUGUUAUUCCUUUACCCUUUUUGAUGCCUGAUGGUGAUAUUACUCUCUUUAUUGGUGACUGGUAUACAAAGAAUCACAAGAAGCAAAGGAAAGACAUUGAGAAUGGUAAAGACCUUGGAGUUCCUGAUGGUAUCCUCAUUAAUGGAUUUGGUCCCUAUCACUAUGAUGCAGCUGUUGUUCCAGAGGGCAUUGCUUACCAGACAAUAAAUGUUGAACCAGGAAAAACAUACCGUCUCCGGGUUCACAAUGUUGGAACCUCAACCAGCUUAAAUUUCAGAAUACAAAAUCAUAACCUACUUCUUGUUGAGACUGAAGGAUCAUACACAGUUCAACAAAACUACACAAACAUGGAUAUUCAUGUUGGUCAAUCAUACUCAUUUUUGGUUACAAUGGAUCAAAAUGCCAGCAGUGACUACUACAUUGUUGCCAGUCCUCAGUUUGUUAAUUCAUCUGAUUGGGACAAAGCUAAGGGAGUGGGUAUCUUGCACUACUCAAACUCUCUGGGACCUGCUUCAGGUCCUCUUCCUGAUCCUCCUAAUGUACUUGACACAUAUUUCUCAAUGAAUCAAGCUCGAUCUAUAAGGUGGAAUGUAUCUGCUGGUGCUGCUCGUCCUAAUCCACAGGGAUCUUUUAAGUAUGGUGAGAUUACUGUGACGGAUGUAUAUGUAAUUCUCAAUAGACCUGCUGAGCUUAUAGAUGGGAAGUGGCGUACUACCCUCAAUGGUAUUUCAUACUUACCACCUGCAACACCUCUAAAGCUUGCUCAGCAAUUCAACAUUUCAGGGGUCUACAAGCUUGAUUUCCCUUAUAGAUUAAUGAAAAGACCUGCGAAACUGGAUACAUCUGUAAUUAAUGGUUCUUAUAAAGCUUUCAUGGAGAUCAUCUUUCAGAAUAAUGAUACAAAUGUACAGAGCUACCAUUUGGAUGGCUAUGCAUUCUUUGUUGUGGGUAUGGAUUUUGGAGUGUGGACAGAAAAUAGCAGAGGCACAUACAACAAAUGGGAUGGUGUUGCGCGCAGCACUACGCAGGUCUUUCCUGGAGCUUGGACAGCUAUUUUAGUUUAUCUUGACAACCCCGGAAUUUGGAACCUUCGAUCUGAGAAUCUUAACUCUUGGUAUUUGGGCCUAGAAGUUUAUGUAAAUGUUGUAAAUCCAGAAAUUGACCAAUCUGAGCCUUUAUUGCCUGACAACACCAUAUAUUGUGGUCUGCUUUCAUCCUUACAAAAGUUGAGAAUUGCCCUAUUGGUCAUUCUUUUAACCAACUAUGAUGGCGCCAACAAUUUAAACUACUUGUGCGACACCCUGAUACUCCGUUCUCGAGAAUUAGCCUUAUAUUGCUAACCAUCGUUGUCCCUUAGGGAUUUGCCACUAAAGCUUUGAUACCAGUUGUCAUAGGGGUCAAUGUUUCAGUCCACUAAUGACAUGAAAAUGAUAAUUGUGAUGUAGCAAUGUGUUCCCAAACUUAGCAACAAUACUCAAACACAAAAAGAGUUAAAAAACAUAAGUGCGAGAAUUUGUUACAUUGAUUCUAAUGUGUGUGUGCCUUUGCAGUUCAUAAAGUAAAUAAAAAACCAAUAUGUUUACAAGUUAAAACUCAACCUUUUAUUGAUUAUUCUUAAUCAUACAAAAAUGAAUAUACAUGUAAAUUCACUUCUUACUCUUGUUCGUUUCUCAAGUACAUGUACAAUAACUUAAAACUUAUAUUUAUACACAAGACAAAUUACAGAGGGACAACUACAAUAUUUACAUUCUAAUCAUUAUUCUUGUAAUUGCUCCAACACGAUCGUAGGGAUUCCAACAAUCACUCCCAUAAUUGCUCCAACACAAUCAUAAGGAUUCCAACAAUCACUUCCAUAAUUGCUCUAACACAAUUAUAGGAAUUCCAAUAAUUACUCCCAGACUUGGCUCUGGCAUAAUCAUGGGAAUUAUAUCUUCAUUGUUACAACCAUGCACAUAUUCUUGAACCUUCUUGCAUGCCCAUCAAGUUUCUUGUAAAUGCCGGAUUAAUUAAAAUAACUAUUUCAAUGCAACCAUACAGUUUACUCUUAGCUUACCCAAACUAUGCAUUUUUCUUGUAAUUCUUAUUUUAGCCACUUUCUUGAGCCAACCAACCUUGUCUAAGGUGCAUAAGACCUCAAUUUAACAUCCUGUCAUGCUUUGCUCAAAGCAAGUUGUUAUAUAGGCAAUGUCGAUCAAAUAGUGCUAAAAGUUCUGCAUAACCCUACUAUGUAAUGUCACCAAUUUUGGCUAAACCUGUCGUACACAUGACCUUAUUUUUUGGUCUUGAUAAUUAGGGGUGUGACAAACUUUCCCUACCCGUUGAACUCAACAUCCUCGUGGAGAGGGUUUAUAGUUGGUUCAAGUCACCCUAACUCAAAUCAACAUUGUUGAACGGGUAUGAUAGGGUGUUAAAUUGAUGCCCUAUGCAUUUUAGACAAGGUUGGUUGGCUUAGGAAGCAAGAAAGUUCAAACAUAUCUUCACAUUUGUAGCAAUGAAGAUAUAAUCCCCAUGAUAUGCUAGAGUCAAGUAUGAGAGUAAUUGCUAGAAUUCUUAUGAUUGUGCUGAGCAAUUGUGGGAGCAAUUGUUGAAAUACCUAUAAUUGUGCUAAAGCAAUUAUGAGAGUGAUUGCUUGAAUUCAAAUGUAUAAUUGUUCAUUUGUAAUUUAUCUGGUGUAUAAAUAUAAACUUUGAGUCAUUGUACAUGCAGAUUAGAACAAACAAGUGAGAAAAAAUGAGUCUACAUGUAUAUUCCUUUUUGUAUUUUUAAGAGUAAUCAAUAAAAAGUUAAGUUUUUAUCUGUAAACAGUUUGUUCUUUAUUUGCUUGUUGAAUUGGGAAGGCACAUGCGCACUGCAAUCAUGGUGACAGAUUUUCCCACUUGUGUUGUUUAAGUUUUUUUGUGUUUGAGUAUUAUUGAGUUGAGUUUAGGAACACUUGGUUGCAUCACAGAUAUCAUUUUCAUACCAUUGGUGGACUAAUAAAUUGACCCCGGUGAUAACUGGUAUCAUAGAUCGAGUGGCGAAUCCUUGAGGGGAAGUGAUGGUUGGCAAAAUCAUUGCGUUGAGUGAGGGGGUGUCAAAAUUGGAGUUUUUAUUGGGGAUUUCAUCUCAAUCAUUGGAAGAAAAGACCAAGCUCAGAGAGUUAAAUUUUCAAGUGCAGCAUCGAUGUCGGGUGCAGGUAGAAGAGUUUUACUUGCAUUUGUUGUAAUAUCAGUGGUUUGCUAUUUAUUUAAUGAGGUUAAAGAUGUUUGAGGGA